UACGGAGGGAGCUAGCGUUGUUCGGAAUUACUGGGCGUAAAGCGCGCGUAGGCGGCUUUGUAAGUUAGAGGUGAAAGCCCGGAGCUCAACUCCGGAACUGCCUUUAAAACUGCAUCGCUUGAAUCCAGGAGAGGUGAGUGGAAUUCCGAGUGUAGAGGUGAAAUUCGUAGAUAUUCGGAAAGAACACCAGUGGCGAAGGCGGCUCACUGGACUGGUAUUGACGCUGAGGUGCGAAAGCGUGGGGAGCAAACAGG
rnacentral:rRNA from 1 species